UUCGUAGGUGGCCCGCUAAGUCACACGUGAAAUCCCUCAGCUUAACUGGGGAACUGCGUGUGAGACUGGCGGGCUUGAGUGCAGGAGAGGAACGCGGAAUUCCAGGUGUAGCGGUGAAAUGCGUAGAUAUCUGGAGGAACACCGGUGGCGAAGGCGGCGUUCUGGACUGUAUCUGACACUGAGGAACGAAAGCCAGGGAGCAAACG
rnacentral:rRNA from 1 species